GGUCAGCGCAUGCUCGCAGUACAUGUCCUGGUAAUACGUCUGGCCCUGCGGCCUUGUGAAUGUUGACCUGUCUAAAGGUCUUAUUCACAUUGGCUGCGGAGAGCAUGAUCACAGUCUUCCGGUACAUCUGGUGCUCUCAUGCAUCUCAUGCUCAUGCUCUCAUGCACUGUUAUUUGCCUCGAAGCGAGCAUAGAAGUAGUUUAGCUCGUCUGAUAGGUUUGUGUCACUUGGCUGUCUCGGUUAGGCAUUACCCCUGUCUGGUUAAUGUAAGGCAUUACUGUGUGGUUAAGCUUAGGUAUUAGCCCUGCAUAGUUAAGGUUAGGAAUUACUGUGUGGUUAAGGUUAGGUAUUAGCCCUGCAUAGUUAAGGUUAUGAAUUACUGUGUGGUUAAGCUUAGGUAUUAGCCCUGCAUAGUUAAGGUUAGGAAUUACUGUGUGGUUAAGCUUCGGUAUUAGCCCUGCAUAGUUAAGGUUAGGAAUUACUGUGUGGUUAAGCUUAGGUAUUAGCCCUGCAUAGUUAAGGUUAGGAAUUACUGUGUGGUUAAGCUUAGGUAUUAGCCCUGCAUAGUUAAGGUUAGGAAUUACUGUGUGGUUAAGCUUAGGUAUUAGCCCUGCAUAGUUAAGGUUAGGAAUUACUGUGUGGUUAAGCUUAGGUAUUAGCCCUGCAUAGUUAAGGUUAGGCAUUACUGUGCGGAUAAGGUUAGGUAUUAGCCCUGCAUAGUUUAGGUUAGGCAUUACUGUGCGGUUAAGGAAAGGCAAUACCCCUGUGUGCUUAAAGUUUGGCAAUACCCCUGUGUGGUUAAGGAUAGGCAAUACCCCU
ensembl:lncRNA